rnacentral:rRNA from 1 species
ACGAACGCUGGCGGCGUGCCUAACACAUGCAAGUCGAGCGGAGAUGUACUGACGGAAAGCUUCGGCUGGAAGACGGUGCAUUUUAGCGGCGGACGGGUGAGUAACGCGUGAGCAACCUUUCCUUCACAGGGGGAUAAGAUACCGAAAGGUGUUCUAAUACCGCAUGAGACCACAGAGCCACAUGGCUUAGGGGUCAAAGGAGGAAUCCGGUGAAGGGUGGGCUCGCGUCCGAUUAGCUAGUUGGUGAGGUGACGGCCCACCAAGGCGACGAUCGGUAGCCGACCUGAGAGGGUGAUCGGCCACAUUGGAACUGAGAGACGGUCCAAACUCCUACGGGAGGCAGCAGUGGGGAAUAUUGGGCAAUGGGGGAAACCCUGACCCAGCAACGCCGCGUGAAGGAAGAAGGUCUUCGGAUUGUAAACUUCUAUCCUCGGUGAAGAGGAGAAGACGGUAGCCGAGAAGGAAGCCCCGGCUAACUACGUGCCAGCAGCCGCGGUAAUACGUAGGGGGCAAGCGUUGUCCGGAAUGAUUGGGCGUAAAGGGCGUGUAGGCGGCUAAGUAAGUCUGGAGUGAAAGUCCUGCUUUUAAGGUGGGAAUUGCUUUGGAUACUGCAUAGCUAGAGUGCAGGAGAGGUAAGUGGAAUUCCCAGUGUAGCGGUGAAAUGCGUAGAGAUUGGGAGGAACACCAGUGGCGAAGGCGACUUACUGGACUGUAACUGACGCUGAGGCGCGAAAGUGUGGGGAGCAAACAGGAUUAGAUACCCUGGUAGUCCACACUGUAAACGAUGAAUGCUAGGUGUAGGUGGUAUCGACCCCAUCUGUGCCGGAGUAAACACAAUAAGCAUUCCGCCUGGGGAGUACGGCCGCAAGGUUGAAACUCAAAGGAAUUGACGGGGGCCCGCACAAGCAGUGGAGUAUGUGGUUUAAUUCGAAGCAACGCGAAGAACCUUACCAGGUCUUGACAUCCUACUAACGAGAUAGAGAUAUGUUAGGUGCCCUUCGGGGAAAGUAGAGACAGGUGGUGCAUGGUUGUCGUCAGCUCGUGUCGUGAGAUGUUGGGUUAAGUCCCGCAACGAGCGCAACCCUUAUGAUUAGUUACUAACGGGUAAAGCCGAGGACUCUAAUGAGACUGCCGGGGACAACUCGGAGGAAGGUGGGGACGACGUCAAAUCAUCAUGCCCCUUAUGACCUGGGCUACACACGUGCUACAAUGGCCACUACAAAGAGGAGCGAGCCCGUAAGGGGGAGCGGAUCUCAAAAAAGUGGUCCCAGUUCGGAUUGUGGGCUGCAACCCGCCCACAUGAAGUCGGAGUUGCUAGUAAUCGCGGAUCAGCAUGCCGCGGUGAAUACGUUCCCGGGCCUUGUACACACCGCCCGUCACACCAUGGGAGUUGGGAGUGCCCAAAGUCGGCGAGGUAACCGCAAGGAGCCAGCCGCCUAAGGCAAGACCAAUGACUGGGGUG